UACACAGAGAAAUCGGAUUGAGUCGGGUCGGGUCGGGUAGGUUCCGAGGAGUUGCCACCUCGUCUGUGGCGUCGUGGUUGCGCUUGGGAGUGGUGAGAGAGGCAGAGCGUGGUAGGGGAGCGGCGGCCGCGGCGGCGGCGGCGGUACGAGGCCGAGGCAGCGCCGCAGGAGCGGGUCCAGGAGAGCAGAGAGAGGCGGAGAAGGCAUGGGGGAGAGGUGGCGGAGUAGAGGCGGCGCCGCGGGCGGUAGAGGGGUUUGGGAUCGAAGCGGCACCUCCUCAUGGAGCAGAGGUGGACGCCGGAGUGGGCUGGUGUCCGGGAGUUCCGGAGGCGGUUCGAGAGGGUGGAGUUCAGGGGGCGUUUAGGGCUGCAGCACGAACGGAAGGAGCGGCUGGAGCCGGAGAGGCUGCGGCUACAGCGGCGGGAGCAGCGGUUCCUGGGCGUCUAGGAGACGCGGUCGCACCUCUCUUGGGACCGCGGGCAGCAGCGGCCCGAGAGACCGGAGCCGAAUAGCGCAAGGCUGUAGCGCGCGGAGCGGAGCGAGAGGGCAUCGUCGAAGGCGAUAUCUAGGUAGCAGAGGUUCGACGUCAUGAUGUACGGAGAGAAACCCAGGAAACUCUUAGAGGAGGCUCGGGAGUUCUCCUUGAAGAUGGAAGUGAGCCGACUGGAGCUACUACACCAGUUCGGGUUGCAGCGCAACGACGCCCUCACGCCCGAUCCACGAACACUAUAACGGUUCGAUACGUAGUCAUUUGGUACCGAAGAGCGGCGGUUGGACCUCGCACAGGUCCGCUACCACCUUACGCGACUUUUGUAUCCACACGGGGCACGGAGACCUUACAAGUCCGUACGCGACGUGCGACAACGUAAAGAGUCGCUCCUGUUCUAGCGUCGGUCCCACUUGAUGAACUUCUUGUGGAAGUCCACCUGCCUACGACUCCAUCCGUACCGACAAAGAUUCAUAGGUUGCCACGACUUAUCCUGAUUCCUCAAAGACGUCUCUUCCAGUCUCAAGGACUAGAGACUAAACCCCAACCUUGGCCGUAUGUAACGAGUAGCGGGCGAUUACGAGCGUAUGUCGGACCUCCCCUCCGAUUCCGGGGCUAUGAUGCAACAUUGAAAAGAAUUCCUCUUACCUAACGAUCUAGUACCAGCUCUAAUGAUAAUACGUCAAUUCUACUGACUCUUCCAUAAGUACUUCUUCAAGUAUACGGGAGUGUUCCUGCGACGUGGUAUGGAACGACUUCUGAUACAUCGUCGAACGUCUCCCCUUAACGGCGGAUCUAAGUCUAAAUGUACUUCGUUCCUUUCCGAUACCUUUAACCAUUGACACGGCGGAUUUGCUCCGUCUUCUGACCAGAGCGAAGCCCCGUGUGACGUCUGCGUAUCCAACGUCGGCCCUAAUGAUAAUGUGUCAGUUCCACUGGCCCUUCCUUAGAUACCUCUUCAAGUAUACGGGAGUGUUCCUUCGACGUGGUGUGGAGUGACUUCUAAUACGCCGUCGGACCUUUCCACUUCACGGCUGAUCUAAGUCUAAACGGACUUGGUUCUGACCAGAGCCUCCUGAUUGAAAUUUGGGGAGAAAGGUUACUUUACUUCGCGUUCGGGGGAAACGCAAAAGAGCUAAAAAAAAAGGAUUGACGUAUACCUCUUGUUUUAAAAGUGAGAGGCAUAAUCCGAUAAGUAAGGACUAAGUCACAACAACCGACGAUAGAUAUUAGAUAACAUACAGACAAUCUGACAAUGUACGAGUAAACCGUCACGAUUAAGUCCUACUGUGACUAUAAAUAAAUCCCCUCUACUUUGACUAUUAAACCAAACACUCAGAACCACACAAGUAAUACGGUAAAUCAUCUGUUCUUUCGUAACGUAACGACACUUGAACAGGAAACAGUAAAGUAUAACUGUACGUAUAACCUUGAUUCUCUCACUCUAGUAACGUAGGAUGUUGACAAAA
rnacentral:rRNA from 1 species